GGAGAUAGCUGGUUCUCCCCGAAAGCUAUUUAGGUAGCGCCUCGUGAAUUCAUCUCCGGGGGUAGAGCACUGUUUCGGCAAGGGGGUCAUCCCGACUUACCAACCCGAUGCAAACUGCGAAUACCGGAGAAUGUUAUCACGGGAGACACACGGCGGGUGCUAACGUCCGUCGUGAAGAGGGAAACAACCCAGACCGCCAGCUAAGGUCCCAAAGUCAUGGUUAAGUGGGAAACGAUGUGGGAAGGCCCAGACAGCCAGGAUGUUGGCUUAGAAGCAGCCAUCAUUUAAAGAAAGCGUAAUAGCUCACUGGUCGAGUCGGCCUGCGCGGAAGAUGUAACGGGGCUAAACCAUGCAC
rnacentral:rRNA from 1 species